rnacentral:lncRNA from 1 species
AUUUUUUCCGGGGAACUGAAACACACUAACAGUACCUGCACGUGUUCCAAAAAAAACCCAAAUUAGGCCCAGGGCCUCUUUCGGCCCAAAUCGCAACUCCGGCAUGGCGGCUCCGCCGUGCUCCGGCGAUGGCGCCAGCGCCUGGGGUUGGCUGUUUUCGGCCGUUUUCGGCCGAAUUCGACCACACUCGCAUCGGUCCUUGUGAGAAAACAACCCCAGGGCCCUCGGGGGGCCAAAAAAUCACGGAAAAACGGAGCUUACCGGCGGCGGCGCUCUCGGGUGCGACGGCUCUCCGGCGAGGUUCGUGUUUUGGUGAUUCGGCUCCGGUCAACCUGUAGAGAAAAGAAUGGUGAUCACGGUGAUAUAAAAAUUGCAUCGAACGGAGGCCGGGAAGGGCCUCGUCGGAGGCAAAAACCGAGAGGGGACGCGGCGGCGCCGCUGGGCUUCGGCCGCGUAUUCCGGCCGUUUGGCCGGGAUUUCGGCCUCGAUUUGGCCAUAGGAGGAAUCAGCGUGGAAAAACGAGUCGGGGGUAUAAAAUUUACCUCGAUCGGCGGUCGGAAAUUUCCCCGGUGCGGCGGCGGGUGGCGGCGGUCGGCCUCUGGUUCGUCUUCUCCGGCGAGCGGCGGGCGGCUAGGGUUUGUGGUCUGGUGUGGGGGUUCUAUUUAUAACCCCUUGCCUUUUGAUCUCAGCCGUCC